rnacentral:rRNA from 1 species
AGGGAAUAGAUACCCAGGUAGUCCUGGCAGUAAACGGUGCACGUUUGGUGUGGGCGCAAUCGACCGCGUCCGCGCCGGAGCUAAACGCGUUAAACGUGCCGCCUGGGAAGUACGGUCGCAAGAUUAAAACUCAAAGAAAUUGACGGGGACCCGCACAAGCGGUGGAGUAUGUGGCUUAAUUCGUAUGCAACGCGAAGAACCUUACCUGGUUCUUGACAUGCAUUGUGUCUCCGGUUGAAAGCCGGAUAGGGUAGCAAUACCCGCUUUGUCACAGGUGCUGCAUGGCUGUCGUCAGCUCGUGUCGUGAGAUGUUGGGUU